CUACGGGGUGCUCCAGUGGGGAAUCUUGGACAAUGGGCGCAAGCCUGAUCCAGCCAUGCCGCGUGAGUGAAGAAGGUCUUCGGAUUGUAAAGCUCUUUUACCAGGGACGAUAAUGACGGUACCUGGAGAAUAAGCCCCGGCAAACUUCGUGCCAGCAGCGCGCGGUAAUACGAAGGGGGCUAGCGUUGUUCGGAAUUACUGGGCGUAAAGCGCACGUAGGCGGGUCGUUAAGUCAGGGGUGAAAUCCCGGAGCUCAACUCCGGAACUGCCUUUGAUACUGGCGAUCUUGAGAUCGGAAGAGGUGAGUGGAAUUCCCAGUGUAGAGGUGAAAUUCGUAGAUAUUGGGAAGAACACCAGUGGCGAAGGCGGCUCACUGGUCCGAUACUGACGCUGAGGUGCGAAAGCGUGGGGAGCAAACAGGAUUAGAUACCCUCGUAGUC
rnacentral:rRNA from 1 species